GGGCUGCUCGCCUUCUGUCCCAACACGGCAGGGGGCAAAAUGCUCAGCACUCAGGAGGAGGCCCUGAUGAGCUAUUGGUUUCGUGAACCUAGCAGCAGGACAACAACCAAUAGUUUUCCUCACCAGUUAAGUGUCCCCCAUCAGCUCUGCCUCACGUGUUUCUACCCGGGAGUGACAGGUGCACCCACCGGACAGAGCUGAGCCGCAGGCACUGAAAAGAAACAUGUUGAAAGAAUGUUGCUAUUUGCUUUUGAGUGAUUGUUUCUUUUUCCUUUCAGCCCUCAAAAUCAAAAGAGACUGAGUUAACCGCUUGGAGAGGUGGCAUUGUUGAUUGUAAGAGGAACCGGGACUGGAAGGCCUCAGCUACCUUGUGGGCAACGGCCCCUGGAGGAUGAAAAGGCAGAGGAUGUCCCCGAUCGGCAGUGGCCCGACCCAGAGACUUGGGCUCACAGAAACAGGAUUUGGACCCACGCAGUCCGGCUCUGACAAGACGUCCUUAACUUCCGACGCGAGGCUGCUUCUGCAUCAGGACAGCUGGUGUUCCAGAGCCCAGUCUGUCGUGGAGGGGACCUGGGGGGUGCCCAGGGCAGCACGAGAGAUCUGUCUCCCUGGGAAGGCUGAUGGACAGGAAAAACCACGAGACGCUUACUCACUUUUCCGACGACCUCACCCCAAAUGGAAGUGCCUCAUGCUCAGUUCGGAAGGAUCAUUUCUGUCAGACGCGGACGAGUUGGCUGAUAGAGGGAUCCACGUUCCCUACCCGAUUCUCCCUGUGGUAGGCUUGGCCCUGUAAUCCUGCCCUGCCCAGUAAUUUAGAGGAAUAGCAGUAAUGAUGAAAACCAAAGCCAGUUGGAUCUGCCGGGAGAGUCCUAGGAGGCAAACUAUAAUUAUCCAAAUUAGACUCUGAGGGGGACUUGACUUUUACAACCUGAUGUUCCCUGCCACAGAAAGUACUGUUGCUAAUGUCUCUUUUUGCUCAGGGUGUGGCUGGCAGCAAAGUGCCUCGUGGCCACCUUCCAGGUGAUUCCUAAAACGGCAUUGUUUGCCAGAGCCUACUCAGGGAGGUCAUUGUGUCUCGGUGACGUUUGAGAGAGCAGCUUCUAGAAACUUCUGAGAGUUCCCAUGUUUGGGAGGGACCCAUUUAGGCCUUCUCCUCAGUUAUAUUCCCAUUUGGGAGCAAAUGGUUCUUGCAUAUUCUGACACCUUAAGUUAAUCAUUCCUUCAACGUUCCCACAAGGUGGCUUUUAUUUAUUUAUUUAUUUAGUCACUGGACAGCGCCUUUCCACAAAGUGAUUUCUUUUCUAAUGGUUUUUAUGCCCCUUCUCAGGAGUUGCCACUCCCUCAGGACCAGGAGAGACCCAUGACGCCGAGGACAGCUCGGUUGCCUCACCAGCUAGCUGUCCCCCUCUUGCUCACCAGCUCCACGGGGCUUACCCCAAAUCAGCACCUCGGCGAAAUUACAGGAACCAACCGAAAACCUGAAUCGAACCUGGGCUUUGUAGUGUGGCACGCUGGUGUUUAAAUCUAGGCUCUGCCUUGUUGAUAGUACAGCCACGUGUGAGGUACUAACCUCUGGAAGGUACGAGCUGUGGACUCCCACACAGCACAGAGCACUUGCCCGAACACCGUGCUGAGAAGCUUCGGCCUGGCUUCCGGCCUUGCUAGAUCGUGUCCCUAAAAGAGAUGUCAGCCCCGUGGUCAGUUUUUGUUCUAGAAAGUACAAUACCAUCACCUCACAAAAUGUGCGUUGUCCCCACGCACUUUGCCAAACCAUCUCCCAUAAUUCUCCUCUC
rnacentral:lncRNA from 1 species